rnacentral:rRNA from 1 species
AACCUGCCUGGUAGCGGGGGAGUAACUAUUGGAAACGAUAGCUAAUACCGCAUAACAGUAGAUAUCGCAUGAUAUUUGCUUGAAAGGUGCAAUUGCACCACUACCAGAUGGACCUGCGUUGUAUUAGCUAGUAGGUGAGGUAACGGCUCACCAAGGCAACGAUACAUAGCCGACCUGAGAGGGUGAUCGGCCACACUGGGACUGAGACACGGCCCAG